AUGGUGAGGACCACCACCACCUUCCUCUUUGUGCUCGUCGGCUGCAGCGCCACACUCCUCAUUAGCUACUCCUAUGCCUCAACCUCCGCCUCCGCCCCCGCCUCGCCCUUGCCCCAACAGGCGGCUAUGGGUGUCCUAUCACUCUCCAUUGGUUCGUGCUCCCUCUCCGCCACAGUGAGGUCUCUCAUUCGUUGUUGUGAAGCUGGCAAAAGUUUGAUCAGGAGAUGGCUCGACUAUGAGAUUUCAGACCUACUAAAGGCUUCUACAAUGGGCAAGUCAAAUUGGUUCUCUCCAGCUAGCAAGGAUUUUCUUGCCUCGCCGGGCUGGCUAGACCACAGAGGCAACAUUUUAUUUGCUAUACCAAACGGCUUGGAGGUAAUUUUAGAGCGUUAUCUUCACUCUUGCUUUCCCUUCGGUUCUCCCCCUCCCACCCAAUCCCUACUUCUCCGGCCGACCGGCGAUGUCUACUUCUCCGGUGAUGAAUAUUUGGCUCUGAUGCGCACCUCUGGAUGUCUCGCCCUGUUCUUGAAGGACAAAAAAAUGGCACCUCUUUUGCUGAUCCCGGGAGCAACAUCUGUCGCUCUUGGUUCAGAUGUAACACCCGUCAGCCUAGCACUCUUUCAGAUGUUCUUAAGGAAGCUGCACGAUCUCCCCCUUGGUCACCCGGAACUCCUUGGCCUUGUCCUCAAGCGCCUCCCUUCCUUAGCUGAUCGUGUUUGUCUAAGAGCUGUCUGCCACCCAUGGCGCUCUAAUAGUAUGUUGCAACCCCUUCCUCUCCCAUUCCCGUGGCUCACUCUCCCUGACGGUACCUUCCUCAGCAUUCCAAGUGGUGAAAUUCACCACAUAUCUUUACCAGAAGGUGCGUGUUGCCAGGGCUCCAUUGGAAACUGGCUAUUCCUCACGCACAAUGAUGAUGUGUGCUACUUGAUGAACCCUUUCUCCAAAACCAGGUCGGAGCUUCCUAAGCUAGCCAAAGUAUGGAAGCGCAGAAUAUUGGAUCCCGACACUAGAUUCAAUCCAAUUUUCUACAAGUUGGUGGUGCCCUUUCCCCUUGACUCGUCGCCCUGUUCCCUUGUUGCUGCAAUGAUCGUGGACGAUAGUGAGUGCGGUACACUUUGUAUUAGCAAACCACCGAUUGUCACUGACUCUUUCAGAGACGAUGAGCUUCCAGUUCUGGAACUUGAGGAUGUUGCAUUCUUUGAUGAAAAGUUGUGGAACACUGAAUCCUUUCCGAGAGAGGCGUGUAUGAUAAGGCAGUAUCUGGUUGAAUGUGGCGGUAGACUGUUGAUGGUGAUACGGUGGAUUCGCUCUAUGGCCCAUCCAACAAGUGAUGACUAUUCGGAGCAUGACCGUACUUUUGCACUUGUGGUUUUUGAGGCAGAUUUGCGCGCCGCCGAACGUGUUGGAUGGAGAACAGUAAGUGACUUGGAUGGCCAUGCGAUCUUUGUCGGCAAGCAUAGCUCCAAGUCCCUGCGUGCUGAAGAAUGCAGUGGAUACCAAGAGGAUUGUAUCUACUUCAUGUGUGACUAUCCCGAGCCGAAGGAUUCUGCAAAUCCUCUUCGUGAUGCCGGUGUUUACAACAUUAGGAUCAGGAAUGAGACAUUCAUGCCGUUGAUGUCGGGGACUGCAGCAGUACCGCCAUGUCACGUUGGCCAGUGGCAUCCGACAUGGUUUUUCCCUCCUGAAACUGCUGGUAGGUUUAGUUUGAUGAGUGAUGUGUUCUACCUGGUGGCUGUUGUUCUGUCUUGUGGUGGCUGA
rnacentral:rRNA from 1 species